AUGGUCGUGGCCAUGGCGGCGGCGCGGCGGAGGCGGGUGUGGCGGUGGGCCAUGCGCGCGGUGGCCAGCGCGGUGAUGUGGACGGCGGUCCUGCAGCUGGCGUCCAUCACCGGCCUCUGGCGCCCCAGGGUCUUCGCGGACUGCUGGGGCGGCUCCGGCUCCGGGGGCGCCUCGGCCGGCCUGGCCGCGCUCGCCGGCGAGGACCGGGUCGCCGCGCGGCUCUCCCCUCCGGCGCUCGUGCCCAGGAGAGUUUAUAGAAGCAAUGGCUAUCUGCUAGUAACUUGCAACGGAGGCCUUAAUCAAAUGCGAGCCGGGAUAUGUGAUAUGGUGACCAUAGCACGCCAUCUGAAUCUAACAUUAGUGCUCCCUGAACUGGAUAAAAGGUCUUUCUGGGCUGAUCCAAGUGAUUUUGGAGAUAUAUUUGAUGUGAACCACUUCAUUAAUUCGUUAAGAGACGAACUAAAAAUUGUCAAAGCACUACCGUUGAAACUCCAGCUAAAAACUAGGAGAAGACUUUAUUCGAUGCCUCCUAUCAGCUGGUCAAACGAUACAUACUACCUAAAGCGGGUAAAUAAUGUAUUACCUCUUGCAAGGAAGCACAAGGUGAUCCAUUUCAAUAAAACGGAUGCCCGGCUAGCAAACAAUGGCAUUCCUAUCCAUCUCCAAAUGCUGCGCUGCCGUGUCAACUUUGAGGCUUUGAGAUUCACUCCACAGAUUGAGGCCCUUGGCAGAAAACUUAUCUCCACCCUUCAACGAAGUGGGGAAUUUGUUGUGCUUCACUUGCGUUAUGAAAUGGACAUGCUCUCCUUUUCAGGCUGCACACAUGGCUGUUCCGAUAAAGAAACUGAGGAGCUCACCAGAAUGAGAUAUGCAUAUCCAUGGUGGAAAGAAAAGGAAAUCGAUUCUGAAACCAAGAGGCUUCAGGGACUUUGUCCCCUCACACCUGAGGAAAUUGCUCUAGUGCUUAAAGCUCUAGGGUUUUCAAAGGAUACGUUGAUAUAUAUUGCCUCUGGUGAAAUCUAUGGAGGUGAAAGACGGUUGGCUGCUCUUAAGGCUGCCUAUCCGAAUUUGGUUAGAAAGGAAAAACUGUUAUCUUCCAAUGAAUUGUGGCCAUUCCAGAACCAUUCGACCCAGAUGGCAGCACUGGACUACAUGGUUUCGAUAGCAAGCAAUGUUUUCAUCCCCAGUUAUGAUGGAAAUAUGGCAAGACUUGUCGAAGGUCACCGCAGGUAUAGUGGCUUUCGCAAGACCAUCUUAUUGGACAGGACAAAACUUGUUGAACUUUUGGAUCAUUUCCAAGGAGGUUCAUUGUCCUGGGAUGAAUUCUCUGCGGCUGUGAAGGAGGCGCACCAGUAUCGCAUGGGCCAACCCACAGACAGAAGGGCCAUCCCUGGCCGGCCCAAGGAAGAGGACUACUUCUAUGCUAAUCCCCAAGAAUGCGUCGGUUCCAGUUCCAUGGGGAGAUUAAGAGAUGUUUCCUGA
rnacentral:rRNA from 1 species